AGAUUAUCACAUGCAUGUGAGGGCUUUCAAAAGGAAAAUGUUCAAAAUUUAUUCAGAACGGAAAAUAGGGGUAUUGAACCCAAACAAGUUAAGAAAUGUUGCAGAUUAUAGUGCAUGAGAUGUAAAUGUGGCUGAGGUUCAUGAAUUUGAGGAGCACAUUCUAUGUGGUUUUAAGCCACGAAAUUUCAGUCAUCAUUCACUGGAUAUGUUAAGUUUCUAAAUUAUUUUUCCCCAGAUUUAUGGUUGGGUUUAAGGCCACUGAUCACGCAAGGCAAAAAUGGUGAUCACAGAAAAAGAGCUGUUCGCGCAACCAUUUUGUAAAAAUUGCCAAAAAUCCGAUAUUUAAUAUUUUACAGUGAGACCAGUUGGGUUUGAAAGCUAACUCGUGGAACUAUCCAAUACAAAAAUAAUAUCAGGAUUUGGUUAAGUAAUGACCGAGUUAUGGCCGCUCAAAGCUGAACAAUGUAGUCUGGCAGAUUGCAUGUCUUCCCUGUUUGCUUUGAGUGCAUUCUUAGGGCAUUUUGACAAGAACAACAUGCAUGCUUCUGUUAAGGUCCGAUUUCUAGCACAUGCAUGGAGUGAAUGAGCAUCCAAGAUGUACUAGAAAUGGUUUAAAUGCUUUUGGUCAUGCAAGAACACAAAAGAAAUGGAGAAGAAGAUGUAAUACUCGGUUUUGAAGUCACAUGAACACAUGUGCAUCUUUUUCACUCCUUGCAUGGGUUUGAUCCCGGAUUUUCACCAUCUCAAACACAUGCAUUGUGUUAUGGUGAGAAUCUACAAACCACAAGGGAAAAAGUAAGGAUUUCUAGCCAUGGAAGGGCAUAGAAUCCGAAGAGUAGAGAAGAACCAUGAAGAAGAGGAAGUAAAAUCAUGAAACUAUGAGGGAGGAUUGUGUUGUUUACCUUGGUUUUGAUCUUGAGAGAAGCAAGAACACUUCAAGGCCUUCUCAAUUUCGAAAUUAUGGCAGAGAAUGGAGGAUUUUAUUGAGUUAGAGAGAGAGAGAGGAAGAGAGCUUGAGUGUUAGAUGGGUGGAGUGUGAGAGAAAGUGAAGAGAGAAGUGGAAGAGUGAGGGUUUGAGUUUAAUGAUUGAAUUUUUGGGAAGAUGAAAGCAUGGGGGAGAGAGGGUGCCAGAUUUUUGAGGGUAUUAAAGUGCAUAUGAGUCAAAGUUUAUCUGUUCCUUCUAGCAAUAAAAGCGAUAUCUGGGUGUCACACCCCACUAAAGCGGAAACGCAAGAUAUGACAGCGAUAACGGUUUCAUUGCAAAAGAUAAAGAUACAUCACCAUAGCAAUAUUUAAAAGUUUACAACCCAUAGCUUAAACAAAACAAAGUACAAGUUUUUCCAAAAUAACAUUGUUCAAAAUAUAACUUCAAAAAUAACUUCAACACGAUGCAGCAUGCUCUAUGACGAUGAAUCUUUAUAUCGACUUACUAAUUAUUUCCUGAAAAAGCAUGUAAAACGAGCGUCAGCUAUGUAAAUAGUUGGUGAGUUCACAAGUUUAUAAAAUCAAGAUUUGGAAUAAGGCUUUUCAUAAAUACAAGUACAUUGCUUUAAUGAGAAACAAGUUUAUUGCUAUUAUUGAUAACAAGUUUAUUGCUAUAACGCGAAACGAGUUUGUAUGUGUAUGAGCAAACAAUGAGUCUUAACCAAACCUAUGACUGAACCCUAUCAAGAUCUAUGCUUAUCGUUCCAUAGAUGAAUAUGGUAUCAUGCACUCCAACAAUAGGGUGAGUGAGGAGUUGUCAAUUCCAAAUAGCGCUAUCCAUAAUGACCAUUGGCUCAAAGAGUUAAUGGUUAGAGAUAAGGGAAGGGCCUUAGUAGUAUAAGUUCUCAUGUUCCGUGUUGCAUAGACAUACAUANCUUCUGUCACACCCCGCUAAAGCGGAAACGCAAGGUAUGACAGCGAUAACGGUUUCAUUGCAAAAGAUAAAGAUACAUCACCAUAGCAGUAUUUAAAAGUUUACAACCCAUAGCUUCAAAAGAAACAAAAUACAAGUUUUUGCAAAAUAACACUAUUCAAAGAUAACUUCAUAAAUAACUUCAACACGAUGCAGCAUGCUCUAUGAUGAUGAAUCUUUAUAUCCACUUACUAAUUAUUUCCUGAAAAAGCAUGUAAAACGAGCGUCAACUAUGAAAAUAGUUGGCGAGUUCACAAGUUUAUAAAUCGAGCUUGAAAUAAGGCUUUUCGUAAAUACAAGUACAUUUCUUUAAUGAUAAACAAAGUUGAUUGCUAUUAAUGAAUACAAGUUUAUUGUUGUAACGAGAAACGAUUUUGUAUGUAUAUGAGCAAACAAUGAGUCUCAACCAAACCUAUGACUGAAUCCCUAUCGAGAUCUAUGCUUAUCGUUCCAUAGAUGAAUAUGGUAUCAUGCACUCCAGCAAUAGGGCGAGUGAGGAGUUGUCAAUUCCUAAUAGCGCUAUCCAUAAUGACCAUUGGCUCAAAGAGUUAAUGGUUAGAGAUAAGGGAAGGGCCUUAGUACGAUAAGUUCUCAUGUUCCAUGUUGCAUAGACAUACAUAGAGAGACAUAGCAAUACAAUAGCAAGCAUGUUUGAUACAAAUCAAUUUAAAUACAACAUGCAAAUAAUAGAUUUUCUGGACAUGCUUUUCGACGCCAAAACAUAAAAACUAAAAAUAGGGGAGUGCGUGAAUACACACAAUGUUUCGUGUAGGUACAAGUAGUGCCUCGGGAUGCACCAACGUCUUACUACCGGGAUUCUACGACGUCAAACACACACUAGUGAGUUUUCAUAUCGAAAUCUAAUGCUAAUAUACUAAACUCUACAUAUAGUGAAAUGCCAAUUUAUGUUUUAGUAUUGAAUUUUAUAUUAAUUGGUUACACUUUUUCAAAUUUUUAAGUCUUUAUAACAACAUAAAUUCACGAAAAAUGGCAUUCAAAGGAUAAAAAUUAUCAAACUUUUUAUUUAACUGUUAUUACACAAUAAUAAGCUGGAAAAGAUAUAAAAAUGGAUUUCCAAGCUGUUUAAUUAUAUUUUAUGAUUUUUGAGCAUUUAUUCCAAUAAAAAUUGAUAUAAAUAGAAACCAGUUUCCAAAAUUACCCAAACUGUUUAUUUAACUGUUAUUAUACAUAACUAGGCUAGGAAAAUAUAAAAGAUAUUUUUCAGUGGGUAUUUCUAUUUUUCCUUGUUUUCUUCCUUUAAAUAAUCAUUAAUUGAAAAAUAAAUAUUAAACAGUUAAAAUAAAUUACCAAAAAUUUUUGUAACAUCAUUUACAGUGUAAUUAAUCUGGGAAAAAUACGAAAAGUGGUUUUCAUAUUGUAUAAUCCGGUUUUGGGUAUUUAUGUGUAUUUAGGUGUAUUUAAGUGUAUUUAACUUUAGAAAAUAGGAGAAAAAUAGUUUGUAGUAGAGAAAAAUCAUCAAAAUUUUUAUGUAACCUCCUACUGUACAACAUGAUUUUCUGGUAAAUUGUCAUGAAUUUUGGAUAAUCAGAACUGUUUUUCCUAUUUUUAGGCCAUUAUAAUUACCAAAAAUUGGUAUAAAUAGUAAGGCAUGAUGAAAAAUUUGGAAAUUAUUUUUCUGAGUCACCCACUACAGGUAAGGGCUGCGAAAAUUGUUAGAUACAAUUUUCACACUCUCUAAUGUGGUUUUGUGAUUUAUUAUACCCAAACAAAAAGAAAAACGGAAAUUAUACCAAACAGAAACAAAAAUCUAAGAAAUUUAAUGAGGGGUCAUUACUCACCAUAGGGGUCAUACAUGAAUUUAUUCCGGAUUUAUAGACCUCUGGAAGUAUUUUAUGUGAUUUAUGCACUUGUUUUCUUGCAAUAAUUUUAAUAAAUCAAAGAAAUGAUAAAAGCUCUUGGUAUUUUACAGAUUAUCACAUGCAUGUGAGGGCUUUCAAAAGGAAAAAUGUUCAAAAUUUAUUCAGAAGGGAAAAUAGGGGUAUUGAACGCAAACAAGUUAAGAAAUGUUGCAGAUUAUAGUUCAUGAGAUGUAAAUGUGGCUGAGGUUCAUGAAUUUGAGUAGCACAUUCUGUGGGGUUUUAAGCCACGAAAUUUCAGCCAUAAUUCACUGGAUAUGUUAAGUUUCUAAAUUAUUUUUCCCCAGAUUUAUGGUUGGGUUAAAGGCCACUGAUCACACAAGGCAAAAAUGGUGAUCACAGAAAAAGAGCUGUUCGCGCAACCAUUUUGUAAAAAUUGCCAAAAAUACGAUAUUUAAUAUUUUACAGUGAGUCAAGUUGGGUUUGAAAGUUAACUCGUGGAACUAUCCAAUACAAAUAUAAUAUCAGGAUUUGGUUAAGUAAUAACCGAGUUAUGGCCGUUCAAAGCUGAACAAAGUAGUCUGGCAGAUUGCAUGUCUUCCCUGUUUGCUUUGAGUGCAUUCUUAGGGCAUUUUGACAAGAACAACAUGCAUGCUUCUGUUAAGGUCCGAUUUCUAGAACAUGCAUGGAGUAAAUGAGCAUCCAAGAUGUACUAGAAAUGGUUUAAAUGCUUUUGGUCAUGCAAGAACACAAAAGAAAUGGAGAAGAAGGUGUAAUACUCGGUUUUGAAGUCACAUGAAAACAUGUGCAUCUUUUUCACUCCUUGCAUGGGUUUGAUCCCCGAUUUUCACCAUCUCAAACACAUGCAUUGUGUUAUGGUGAGAAUCUACAACCACAAGGGAAAAAGUAAGGAUUUCUAGCCAUAGAAGGGCAUAGAAUCCGAAGAGUAGAGAAGAACCAUGAAGAAGAGGAAGUAAAAUCAUGAAACUAUGAGGGAGGAUUGUGUUGUUUACCUUGGUUUUGAUCUUGAGAGAAGCAAGAACACUUCAAGGCCUUCUCAAUUUCGAAAUUAUGGCAGAGAAUGGAGGAUUUUAUUGAGUUAGAGAGAGAGAGAGAGGAA
rnacentral:lncRNA from 1 species